GGCGCGAUGUACAGAGCCGCGACACGCGACACGCAACCAGCAGCAGCAGCAGCAGCAGUAGCAGUAGCAGCAGCAGCAAAAGUUGUGGCAGCAGCAACAGCAACACUUGCAACACUUGCAACAGCAGCAGCAACAGCAGCCGGAAGACCAAACGACCAUUGAGCCGCCCUUUUAAGCCGUGUUAGUAGUAGACCGUGGUCGUCGCAGUACAAAACCGUCGCCCAAUAAAAUAAAUUUGAAAAAAAAUCAAGCAAUGAGAAAUUACCGCUAAAAACGUCGCAGCCUCCUCUACGAAGUCUUCUAUUCCUGCGUUCUUUUUUUUUGUACAUUUUUUUCCAGUGCUCGCGACGCGAAACCAAUUUGAAACCUAACAAAAUCUGAAAAUAAUACACCCCCUUUCUAACUUCAACACAAGCAAAAAGAAAAAAAAGUCCUUCGGCCAAGCAACUUGCCUACUUUGAGCUGCCCGUGCACGUAAUUCUUCAUAUCGUCGUUUAAUCGCCUUCCUGCCCUAUGCACUAUAUAUCAGCAACAACUACAACUACAACUAAAGUCUCAAACAAAAAGCAAUCGUAAAAAGCAAAUAAUAAUACCAAAUGUCCUAAUUGGAACAAAUGUUGUACAUACCUACGGAUAAAUUAACCUUUGGCCAGCAAAAUUUAGCUAGAAGACAAAAUAUACAAGGAGAGAAAUUUUUGCAUACUAAAUUUAAUGAAGCUAUACGAAAAUUGAAAAAUAGCAAGAAAGGACAAACAAAGCAGAGACCCAACAAUAAUUAGCAUUAAAAAUUGGUUAACAAGCAAAAGACCCAGAAAUAUCGAAGUAAAAGGAUUAGUUGUACGCCCAUUGUGAUUAUUAAUUUUAGACAUAGGCCAAGAAACCAAAACCAACAGCAAGUCGAGGGGAAACGUUGCUAUCAAAAAUAAAACAGCAGCACAACACGACCAAAAAGCAAAGCAAAAGCAACAGAGAAGCAAAGCAAAAGCAAGAAGCAAGAAGCAACAUUAGCCGCCCAAAGAACCUUGAAAGCAUUAGCCAAAAACUCUUAGUUCAAUUCCAUCCAACAACCAAAUACCAAACUCUUGGCUAUGACAAAUUUGAGGCGUUCAAACUGAAAAUAAAAAAAAUGAAAAAAACCUAUUGAUGCGGCUGCCCAACCCAGCAACAACUCAGUUUCAACUCUUGCCCAGCGGCAUCUGUCCUC